GAGGGCAUAGCUCAGUGGUAGAGUGCUUGUUUAGCAUGCACAAGGUUCUGGGUUCAAUCCCUGGUACCUCCA
rnacentral:tRNA from 1 species